CCUACGGGAGGCAGCAGUAGGGAAUAUUGCUCAAUGGGGGAAACCCUGAAGCAGCAACGCCGCGUGGAGGAUGAAGGUUUUCGGAUUGUAAACUUCUUUUGUUAGAGAAGAUAAUGACGGUAUCUAACGAAUAAGCACCGGCCAACCCCGUGCCAGCAGCCGCGGUAAUACGGAGGGUGCAAGCGUUACUCGGAAUCACUGGGCGUAAAGAGCGCGUAGGCGGGAUAGCAAGUCAGAUGUGAAAUUCUAUGGCUUAACCAUAGAACUGCAUUUGAAACUGUUAGUCUAGAGUAUGGGAGAGGUAGGUGGAAUUCUUGGUGUAGGGGUAAAAUGCGUAGAGAUCAAGAGGAAUACUCAUUGCGAAGGCGACCUGCUAGAACGUAACUGACGUUGAUGCGCGAAAGCGUGGGGAGCAAACAGGAUUAGAUACCCUUGUAGUC
rnacentral:rRNA from 1 species